GACGAACGCUGGCGGCGUGCCUAAUACAUGCAAGUAGAACGCUGAAGAGAGGAGCUUGCUCUUCUUGGAUGAGUUGCGAACGGGUGAGUAACGCGUAGGUAACCUGCCUUGUAGCGGGGGAUAACUAUUGGAAACGAUAGCUAAUACCGCAUAACAAUGGAUGACACAUGUCAUUUAUUUGAAAGGGGCAAUUGCUCCACUACAAGAUGGACCUGCGUUGUAUUAGCUAGUAGGUGAGGUAACGGCUCACCUAGGCGACGAUACAUAGCCGACCUGAGAGGGUGAUCGGCCACACUGGGACUGAGACACGGCCCAGACUCCUACGGGAGGCAGCAGUAGGGAAUCUUCGGCAAUGGGGGCAACCCUGACCGAGCAACGCCGCGUGAGUGAAGAAGGUUUUCGGAUCGUAAAGCUCUGUUGUAAGUCAAGAACGAGUGUGAGAGUGGAAAGUUCACACUGUGACGGUAGCUUACCAGAAAGGGACGGCUAACUACGUGCCAGCAGCCGCGGUAAUACGUAGGUCCCGAGCGUUGUCCGGAUUUAUUGGGCGUAAAGCGAGCGCAGGCGGUUUGAUAAGUCUGAAGUUAAAGGCUGUGGCUCAACCAUAGUUCGCUUUGGAAACUGUCAAACUUGAGUGCAGAAGGGGAGAGUGGAAUUCCAUGUGUAGCGGUGAAAUGCGUAGAUAUAUGGAGGAACACCGGUGGCGAAAGCGGCUCUCUGGUCUGUAACUGACGCUGAGGCUCGAAAGCGUGGGGAGCGAACAGGAUUAGAUACCCUGGUAGUCCACGCCGUAAACGAUGAGUGCUAGGUGUUGGAUCCUUUCCGGGAUUCAGUGCCGCAGCUAACGCAUUAAGCACUCCGCCUGGGGAGUACGACCGCAAGGUUGAAACUCAAAGGAAUUGACGGGGGCCCGCACAAGCGGUGGAGCAUGUGGUUUAAUUCGAAGCAACGCGAAGAACCUUACCAGGUCUUGACAUCCCGAUGCUAUUUCUAGAGAUAGAAAGUUACUUCGGUACAUCGGUGACAGGUGGUGCAUGGUUGUCGUCAGCUCGUGUCGUGAGAUGUUGGGUUAAGUCCCGCAACGAGCGCAACCCCUAUCGUUAGUUGCCAUCAUUCAGUUGGGCACUCUAGCGAGACUGCCGGUAAUAAACCGGAGGAAGGUGGGGAUGACGUCAAAUCAUCAUGCCCCUUAUGACCUGGGCUACACACGUGCUACAAUGGUUGGUACAACGAGUUGCGAGUCGGUGACGGCAAGCUAAUCUCUUAAAGCCAAUCUCAGUUCGGAUUGUAGGCUGCAACUCGCCUACAUGAAGUCGGAAUCGCUAGUAAUCGCGGAUCAGCACGCCGCGGUGAAUACGUUCCCGGGCCU
rnacentral:rRNA from 1 species